rnacentral:rRNA from 1 species
GAUGAACGCUGGCGGCGUGCCUAACACAUGCAAGUCGAGCGAUAAGAUUAGGAAUGAGACUUCGGUUGAGUGAAUAAUCGGAAAGCGGCGGACAGGUGAGUAACGCGUGGGUAACCUGCCCUGUACAGAGGAAUAGCCAUUGGAAACGAUGAUUAAUGCCUCAUAAGACCACAGCAUCACCUGAUGCAGUGGUAAAAACUCCGGUGGUACAGGAUGGACCCACGUUAGAUUAGCUAGUUGGUGAGGUAACGGCUCACCAAGGCAACGAUCUAUAGCCGACCUGAGAGGUGAUCGGCCACACUGGAACUGAGACACGGUCCAGACUCCUACGGGAGGCAGCAGUGGGGAAUAUUGCACAAU